GUUGUGGUGGCCUAGUGGUUAAAGCUUUGAAUUAUAGCUCAGAAGGUCAUGUGUUUGAAUCCCAGUGUCACCU